GCUGGGAGUGGUGGCACAUUCCUGUAAUCAAGGCCACUCGGGAGGCUGAGGCAGGAGGAUCAUGAAUUCAAAGCCAGCCUCAGCCAUAGCAAGACACUAAGCAACUCAGUGAGACCCUGUCUCUA
rnacentral:sRNA from 1 species